rnacentral:sRNA from 1 species
GACGAUGCAGAGGGCUGUAAGUGUGGUGGCCCAUCUGGGCUCUCGCCUGCAGGCAUUCUCCCCGGCCUUGUGUCGUCCAUUUAGUUGCGCACAGGACACCGCUGUAUGACUUCCACCUGGCCCACGGCGGGAAAAUGGUGGCGUUUGCGGGUUGGAGUCUGCCAGUGCAGUACCGGGACAGUCACACUGACUCGCACCUGCACACACGCCAGCACUGCUCGCUCUUUGACGUGUCUCAUAUGCUGCAGACCAAGAUACUUGGUAGUGACCGGGUGAAGCUGAUGGAGAGUCUAGUGGUUGGAGACAUUGCAGAGCUAAGACCAAACCAGGGGACACUGUCGCUGUUUACCAACGAGGCUGGAGGCAUCUUAGAUGACUUGAUUGUAACCAGUACUUCUGAGGGCCACCUGUAUGUGGUGUCCAACGCUGGCUGCUGGGAGAAAGAUUUGGCCCUCAUGCAGGUAUACCCCCUCUGUGUUCUAGGCACCUUGUCUUCCUUGUUCAUAGAGCAGCAUCCUUGUUAUCCAAGACAGGGUUGGCACAGACAAAGGACCUGGAAAAUGGCUCUUUCAGUGAAUGAACAGCUAUGAGACUCAAGAGCAGGCCCUCUCUGGAGCAUGCCAGGGUUUGGUGGUGGGGGAUUACCAGGCAUGGGGAGGGGGUCUUGGCCCCUCUGGUGUGAGGUGGCAGACCUGGGCUUGGGUCAUCUCUAUCACUUAGUAGCUAUGUGACCUUGUAAGAUGGGAACCAGCCUACUACCUUUUUUUCCUCCCUCCUCCUCCUCCUCUCCACUGUCUUACUACUGUCCAGCUCUGCAGCGUCCAGCCCAUGGUAGCUGCUCAGUAAGUGGCCCCAGAUGCUCUUGUGUUUCUGUCUUUUAGGACAAGGUCAGGGAGCUUCAGAACCAGGGCAGAGAUGUGGGCCUGGAGGUGUUGGAUAAUGCCCUGCUAGCUCUGCAAGGCCCCACUGCAGCCCAGGUACUACAGGCCGGCGUGGCAGAUGACCUGAGGAAACUGCCCUUCAUGACCAGUGCUGUGAUGGAGGUGUUUGGCGUGUCUGGCUGCCGUGUGACCCGCUGUGGCUACACAGGAGAGGAUGGUGUGGAGGUGUGUCAAGAAGUGGUGUAGGGGGCAGUACAGGGCACAAGAUGCAUGUGAGGGGUUGGGGGUAUGUGGUACAGGGAGCUUCCCAUCUGCCCUCUGGUGUUUCAUACAGAUCUCGGUGCCGGUAGCGGGGGCAGUUCACCUGGCAACAGCUCUUCUGAAAAACCCAGAGGUGAAGCUGGCAGGGCUGGCAGCCAGGGACAGCCUGCGCCUGGAGGCAGGCCUCUGCCUGUACGGGAAUGACAUUGAUGAACACACUACACCUGUGGAGGGCAGCCUCAGUUGGACACUGGGGAAGCGCCGCCGAGCUGCUAUGGACUUCCCUGGAGCCAAAGUCAUUGUUCCCCAGCUGAAGGGCAAGGUGCAGCGGAGGCGUGUGGGGUUGAUGUGUGAGGGGGCCCCCAUGCGGGCACACAGUCCCAUCCUGAACAUGGAGGGUACCAAGAUUGGUACUGUGACUAGUGGCUGCCCCUCGCCCUCUCUGAAGAAGAAUGUGGCGAUGGGUUAUGUGCCCUGCGAGUACAGUCGUCCAGGGACAAUGCUGCUGGUAGAGGUGCGGCGGAAGCAGCAGAUGGCUGUAGUCAGCAAGAUGCCCUUUGUGCCCACAAACUACUAUACCCUCAAGUGAAGCUGGCUCAGGGUGGGGCUGUCCCUUCCAGAAGUUUUGCCCCUACAAGGGGUUAGUCAAGAAGCUGAGGCAGAACUCACUGGGGGUGGGCAGUUAAGGUGGAGGCUGAUUCUAAUUGUCUGGCUGAGGGGCCACACCACCUAUUCCCCCCACCUAACUCAUGCCACUCCAGCUUCCUUCAGGACCCUGCUUCUGAGUGACGGACCAGCUCACACAAUGUCUUGUUUCAGUCCAUGAUCCCACUGACCUACUCUUGCCUGCUGGAGGGUAAUGAGAAGCUUUGGUUCUGCCAUCUCUCCCACUCUGCCAGGUGCUGGCUGUGGAGCAAAGGCUCACCUUUGUGGGGAGGAUAAAACCUGCCCAACCUACCUCACCAUGGUUUUUCACAUUGCAAACGGUAAUAACAUGGGCAGUGUGGACUUAGGCUACCCCCUCCAGUUUGCUUUCCGUAAAUGCAAAUUGUCCCUACUGCAAGUCAGGAAUGAUUGCCGACUCACAGUAGGGCUGCUAUGCCUGUGUGUAAACUUGGGGAUGGCUGAGGGAACACAGACUCACUCUUCCGCAUUCCCAAGUUGGUCUAGUGUGCUGCCCAGUAGCAAACCAUGGCAGGCUCACCACCUAUUCUGAGCUCCAGGGCUGUUGUAGGGCAGGGUGGGCUUCCUCCCAGACUUGCCUUACCCUGGGCUGAUCUUUGCCCCUGGUAUGCAUUAAUGGAC